ensembl:lncRNA
AUGUUAGAAAAACGGUCGUGCCACUCGAGCACAGCCGAAGAGACAGUCUGCAAUCACACCCACUCUCGCCACUGUUACACUGUGUUUGCACACACUGUGACCAAACUGUCCAGCUCUGUCAGCGCCUGCUGCGUUGAAAUGCCUUCCUGGAUGGAAUCUUCAAACGGUGCACAUGAAGCUGAAGAUCAUUUCAACAGAUACUUGAUCUGCAUCAUCAGAACAUAUGUGACCAGGAAACCAUGGCAACCAUCUCAGGUGCUCUGGCAAGCUGGAAACAAGGCCAAAGGAAUGUGUUUCACAAGCCUGCAUUAGUGUUAAAUGGUGUUACCCUUCACAUCAAAGGCAAAUACGUGGAGGAAGAUGCUAAGGUCAUUUUUAAGAUAUAUAGUGCUGAUAAGAGCUGUUUGCUAUAUCAUUCAGCAAAAUAAGUCAAAUUUAUUUGUAAAGUGCAUUUCACAAAUCAUUUCAAAGAAGCUUACAGAAAGUCAUACCAUGCUUUUGAUGAUAUAUAACGAUGAUAAGUGAUCUUCUGCAUUAAUAUCUAGCUAUAUUGCAGCACACCCCACCCCCAUUAUUAAUAUGAGCAAUUUUUGCAGGAAAAGUCCAUAUCUGUGUAUUGUAUCUUUAAAAUUUACUGACAGCCACCAAAAAACAGAAGGUGAUAAAAAAAACCCACACAUUAUGAAUCAAAGUUCAUCACAAAUAAAUUUCUUACAUGUUGCGGUAACA